AACGAACGCUGGCGGCAGGCUUAACACAUGCAAGUCGAGCGCCUCGCAAGAGGAGCGGCAGACGGGGGAGUAACGCGUGGGAAUCUACCGUGCCCUACGGAAUAGCUCCGGGAAACUGGAAUUAAUACCGUAUACGCCCUUCGGGGGAAAGAUUUAUCGGGGUAUGAUGAGCCCGCGUUGGAUUAGCUAGUUGGUGGGGUAAAGGCCUACCAAGGCGACGAUCCAUAGCUGGUCUGAGAGGACGAUCGGCCACAUUGGGGCUGAGACACGGCCCAAACUCCUACGGGAGGCAGCAGUGGGGAAUAUUGGACAAUGGGCGCAAGCCUGAUCCAGCCAUGCCGCGUGAGUGAUGAAGGCCCUAGGGUUGUAAAGCUCUUUCACCGGUGAAGAUAAUGACGGUAACCGGAGAAGAAGCCCCGGCUAACUUCGUGCCAGCAGCCGCCGUAA
rnacentral:rRNA from 1 species